AUAAAAGGAGGUGGUAUAAGUCUUGUAAGACACACACAUCAUUUUUAGUACUCUAUAUUUACAUAUGGAAAACACUAAAUAACAAUGCCCCUCUUUUAUGUGUUACGGCUAAGACACCAAGGAAAGAACCAAAAGAGUUGGUAAUUUAGUUUUGGUAAUUAUUGUUUUGGUGAUUAAGGUCUAGCAGCCUUCAGGUAUUGUUUGGGAUGUUCGUGUGGAUCAACUGUAGAGAUAUUCAUACUAUUGAAUAUUGUUUUUUGUCACACAAGAUUAUACCUACUUGAAAGGUAUAAUUUCUAGUCCAUCUAUUAUGACAACUAUUAUAGUGUAAUUGGAUCCUGGAGGAAAUAUUAAUCGUGUGCAUGUUUUAUAAAUAAUACAUUAAUGUAUUUUUAGUCUCCGCUGCGUAUAUAAAAUAAACUAUUUAAAAGUACACACGAGGGCUAAUCUUUCCAACAGUAUUCUCGUCAAAAUCUUUAGAAAUCAGGAAAUGUUUCUUGUUGACAUGCUUCAGAUGCUGUACCAAGACUUGAAAAGCUUCAAACUGGUUGUUGGUCAUCUCUAGAUGGAGGGGAUUCUCACCUUGAGCAGUCGUGCAUUCAACACUCUCCAAACUCGACAAAAUCAAUUUUCUAAUAAUGUGAACUUUCUUUUUACAACUACUAAAUGAAGAGGAAUAUUUCUGUCUUUUCCUUUGAUCCAACACAAACUAAGGUAAGUUUCAACGAUGCAGAACAACGCCAUCAAGGACCAGAUCAUAUAUAGAGGCUUUUGACACGCAGCUUUAAUGCAGCCUGAAUGAAAUCAAAAACAGAAUAUAUUAAGUAGAACCAGAAUAUGAAUAAACAAUGAGAUCUGAAAAGAUAAAAAUAUAAUAAGGAUAAUGAAGAAGAUAAUAAUAAAGGACACAAUGGGAGAUAAAAGUGGUAAAGCAGAGUGUGUUCAGUCACACAGAAACGUUGAAGUUUAAUUUAAUAAAUGCAUAUCCAUAUAAUUAUAAAUAAUAAAACAAAAAGCAUACUUGUUUAGCAAGUUUUACCAAGUAGCCCGAGCUGGAGCCGAGCUCAAGCCCCGAGGGCACAAAAUCCAAGGUCGAAAUACAUAAAGAUCCAGCGCGAUUGAGCUUUUAAAGGUGUUUUGAGCCUUAAAAAAUAAAUAGUUUAGCUAGAGAGCAGGGCUUGUGGCGAUUUUUACCAAAUUGUGUGUAGAUGAGUUAAAUCAUAAAAAUAUAAAGGAUACAUACUUACGUAUAUUAUCAAGCAAGCUCUUGGAGCUGAGCUCCAUCCCCAUGGGGGCGGUGGUUUUGGUUAGCUUAUUAACAUUGAAUAAUGGCUUAUAUAUAUAUAGUUUCAAACAAA